CAGCCGCCACGGUAAUACGUAGGUGGCAAGCGUUGUCCGGAAUUAUUGGGCGUAAAGGGCUCGCAGGCGGUUUCUUAAGUCUGAUGUGAAAGCCCCCGGCUCAACCGGGGAGGGUCAUUGGAAACUGGGAAACUUGAGUGCAGAAGAGGAGAGUGGAAUUCCACGCGUAGCGGUGAAAUGCGUAGAGAUGUGGAGGAACACCAGUGGCGAAGGCGACUCUCUGGUCUGUAACUGACGCUGAGGAGCGAAAGCGUGGGGAGCGGACAGGAUUAGAUACCCGCGUAGUCCCUGUCUCUUAUAC
rnacentral:rRNA from 1 species